CAAUAGCGUAUAUUAAAGUUGUUGCGGUUAAAAGCUCGUAGUUGGAUUUCUGUCGAAAACAACCGGUCCGCUCUAUGAGCGUGUAUCUGGUCUGGUUUUGGCAUCCUCGUGGGUAACAGCUCUGUGCUUGAUUGCAUGGACUGGUAUUCACGACUUUUACUUUGAGGAAAUUAGAGUGUUCACGGCAGGCAAGCGCCUUGAAUACAUUAGCAUGGAAUAAUAAUAUAGGACCUUGGUACUAUUUUGUUGGUUUCUAGAACUAAGGUAAUGAUUAAUAGGGAUAAUUGGGGGCAUUCGUAUUAACGCGUCAGAGGUGGAAUUCUUGGAUUGCGUUACGACGAACUACUGCGAAAGCAUUUGCCAAGGAUGUUUUCAUUGAUCAAGAACGAAAGUAUGGGGAUCGAAGACGAUCAGAUACCAU
rnacentral:rRNA from 1 species